rnacentral:lncRNA from 1 species
GUGCGCUUGCGGAUCAUUUCCUUAUUGCGUUACCAAAUAUCAACAAGCAUUUCUGGCGCCGUUGCUGGGGAGAAAGACGGUUUGCUGAGAUAACUUUGAGUCUUGCUAUUAUCUUGUAUUAUACUUUUAUACUUUUAUUCUUUUAUCAUUUUAUUUUUAUUUUUAUGGAUAACUCAAAUUCCAUACCUAUUAUUGAAUUCUUUGCACCUUCGGAGACCAGCCAUAGACCAUGGGAGUCAACACGUCCUGCCCCUAAUUAUGAUCUGUGUCCGGAGUUGAUUGCAAUAGGUCAAAACUAACCCUUUUCUAUAGCUGAGGUCCUAUCUUUUAAUCAAGAAGAUAAUGCACUUUUAGCUACACCUAGGGAAUCUUUUAAUCUUUCUAUAAAUUCAGGUUUAGACCUAGCCCUACAAGACCAUGUUUUUUCUCGAUAUUUUCACAUUGGUCUUAAUCAUAUAACCUUUGGUAGAGUCCUUCUUUCUUUAUCUAUUAGUAAAGGAAGGUAUGUCUUCAUUUGUGGAC